rnacentral:rRNA from 1 species
GGUCAAGCGAACAAGUGCAUGUGGUGGAUGCCUUGGCGAUCACAGGCGAUGAAGGACGCGGUAGCCUGCGAAAAGCUUCGGGGAGCUGGCAAACGAGCUUUGAUCCGGAGAUGUCCGAAUGGGGAAACCCGGCCCGAAUGGGUCAUCCCACACUGAAUCCAUAGGUGUGGGAAGCGAACGCGGCGAACUGAAACAUCUAAGUAGCUGCAGGAACAGAAAUCAACCGAGAUUCCCAGAGUAGUGGCGAACGAAAUGGGAACAGCCUUGUACUCUUUAGCAGUGUUGUUAGCAGAACGGGAUGGAAAGCCCGGCCGUAGCAGGUGAUAGCCCUGUAUGCGAAAACAGCGUUGUGGAACUAGGUGUACGACAAGUAGGGCGGGACACGUGAAAUCCUGUCUGAAGAUGGGGGGACCAUCCUCCAAGGCUAAAUACUCGUGAUCGACCGAUAGUGAACCAGUACCGUGAGGGAAAGGCGAAAAGAACCCCGGGAGGGGAGUGAAAUAGAUCCUGAAACCGCAUGCAUACAAACAGUCGGAGCCUCUUCGGGGGUGACGGCGUACCUUUUGUAUAAUGGGUCAGCGACUUACAUUCAGUGGCAAGCUUAACCGAUUAGGGCAGGCGUAGCGAAAGCGAGUCCGAACAGGGCGUUGAGUCGCUGGGUGUAGACCCGAAACCAGAUGAUCUAUCCAUGGCCAGGUUGAAGGUGCGGUAACACGUACUGGAGGACCGAACCCACUAACGUUGAAAAGUUAGGGGAUGAGCUGUGGAUAGGGGUGAAAGGCUAAACAAAUCUGGAAAUAGCUGGUUCUCUCCGAAAACUAUUUAGGUAGUGCCUCGUGUCUCACCUUCGGGGGUAGAGCACUGUCAUGGUUGGGGGGUCUAUUGCUGAUUACCCCGCCAUAGCAAACUCCGAAUACCGAAGAGUGCAAUCACGGGAGACAGACAUCGGGUGCUAACGUCCGGUGUCAAGAGGGAAACAACCCAGACCGCCAGCUAAGGUCCCCAAAUAUAGCUAAGUGGGAAACGAAGUGGGAAGGCUAAAACAGUCAGGAGGUUGGCUUAGAAGCAGCCACCCUUUAAAGAAAGCGUAAUAGCUCACUGAUCGAGUCGUCCUGCGCGGAAGAUGUAACGGGGCUAAGCUAUAUACCGAAGCUGCGGACGCGUGCGUUCCUUUAAGUGCACCAAGCUUGUCGAUGCGCAGCAUCGACAAAGCACACCAACAAUGAUCGUUGUGGUGUGCAUGCUAGUGGAUUUAAAGGAGCGCACGCGUGGUAGGAGAGCGUUCUGUAAGCCUGUGAAGGUGUCUUGUAAAGGAUGCUGGAGGUAUCAGAAGUGCGAAUGCUGACAUGAGUAGCGAUAAAGGGGGUGAAAGGCCCCCUCGCCGUAAGCCCAAGGUUUCCUACGCAACGUUCAUCGGCGUAGGGUGAGUCGGCCCCUAAGGCGAGGCAGAGAUGCGUAGCUGAUGGGAAGCAGGUUAAUAUUCCUGCACCGUCGUAUGAUGCGAUGGGGGGACGGAUCGCGGAAGGUUGUCCGGGUGUUGGAAGUCCCGGUCCCUGCAUUGGAGAAGGCGCUCAGGCAAAUCCGGGCGCGGGAUUCAAGGAUGUGGGGCGAGCGGCCUAGAGCUGCGAAGCAAUUGGAAGUGGUUCCAAGAAAAGCCUCUAAGCUUCAGUCAUACGAGACCGUACCGCAAACCGACACAGGUGGGCGAGAUGAGUAUUCUAAGGCGCUUGAGAGAACUCGGGAGAAGGAACUCGGCAAAUUGGUACCGUAACUUCGGGAUAAGGUACGCCCUGGUAGCUUGACUGGCCUGCGCCAGAAGGGUGAAGGGGUUGCAAUAAAAUGGUGGCUGCGACUGUUUAAUAAAAACACAGCACUCUGCAAACACGAAAGUGGACGUAUAGGGUGUGACGCCUGCCCGGUGCCGGAAGAUUAAAUGAUGGGGUGCAAGCUCUUGAUUGAAGUCCCGGUAAACGGCGGCCGUAACUAUAACGGUCCUAAGGUAGCGAAAUUCCUUGUCGGGUAAGUUCCGACCUGCACGAAUGGCGUAACGAUGGCCACACUGUCUCCUCCCGAGACUCAGCGAAGUUGAAGUGUUUGUGAUGAUGCAAUCUCCCCGCGGCUAGACGGAAAGACCCCAUGAACCUUUACUGUAGCUUUGCAUUGGACUUUGAACCGAUCUGUGUAGGAUAGGUGGGAGGCUUAGAAGCGUGGACGCUAGUUCACGUGGAGCCGUCCUUGAAAUACCACCCUGGUUUGUUUGAGGUUCUAACCUUGGCCCGUGAAUCCGGGUCGGGGACAGUGCAUGGUAGGCAGUUUGACUGGGGCGGUCUCCUCCCAAAGUGUAACGGAGGAGUUCGAAGGUACGCUUGGUACGGUCGGACAUCGUACCUAAAGUGCAAUGGCAAAAGCGUGCUUAACUGCGAGACCGACAAGUCGAGCAGGUGCGAAAGCAGGACAUAGUGAUCCGGUGGUUCUGAAUGGAAGGGCCAUCGCUCAACGGAUAAAAGGUACUCUGGGGAUAACAGGCUGAUACCGCCCAAGAGUUCAUAUCGACGGCGGUGUUUGGCACCUCGAUGUCGGCUCAUCUCAUCCUGGGGCUGUAGCCGGUCCCAAGGGUAUGGCUGUUCGCCAUUUAAAGAGGUACGUGAGCUGGGUUUAAAACGUCGUGAGACAGUUUGGUCCCUAUCUGCCGUGGGCGUUGGAAUCUUGACGGGGGCUGCUCCUAGUACGAGAGGACCGGAGUGGACGUACCGCUGGUGUACCUGUUGUCUCGCCAGAGGCAUCGCAGGGUAGCUAUGUACGGAAGAGAUAACCGCUGAAAGCAUCUAAGCGGGAAACUCGCCUGAAGAUGAGGAUUCCCUGGAGGCUUGACCUCCUUGAAGGGUCGUUCGAGACCAGGACGUUGAUAGGCUGGGUGUGGAAGCGCAGUAAUGCGUUAAGCUAACCAGUACUAAUUGCCCGUAAGGCUUGAUCCU